rnacentral:rRNA from 1 species
GACGAACGCUGGCGGCGUGCCUAAUACAUGCAAGUAGAACGCACAGUUUAUACCGUAGCUUGCUACACCAUAGACUGUGAGUUGCGAACGGGUGAGUAACGCGUAGGUAACCUGCCUGGUAGCGGGGGAUAACUAUUGGAAACGAUAGCUAAUACCGCAUAAUAUUGAUUAUUGCAUGAUAAUUAAUUGAAAGGUGCAAUUGCACCACUACCAGAUGGACCUGCGUUGUAUUAGCUAGUAGGAGAGGUAACGGCUCACCUAGGCGACGAUACAUAGCCGACCUGAGAGGGUUGUCGGCCACACUGGGACUGGGACACGGCCCAGACUCCUUCGGGAGGGAGCAGUAGGGGAUCUUCGGCAAUGGACGAAAGUCUGACCGAGCAACGCCGCGGGAGUGAAGAAGGUUUUCGGGUCGUAAAGCUCUGUUGUAAGAGAAGAACGGGUGUGAGAGUGGAAAGUUCACACUGUGACGGUAUCUUACCAGAAAGGGACGGCUAACUACGUG